GAUUUUGGGCAGGGGCCGAGUUCGAGCAAGCACCAAAUUUUGGGGGUUUAUUUCCUUCCCCUCGCUCA
rnacentral:lncRNA from 1 species